rfam:Nematostella vectensis strain CH2 x CH6 NEMVEscaffold_3673_Cont45905, whole genome shotgun sequence.
CUUCUUCGAUCUGCUGCGGGCAGAUGAAAUGGAUGUGCGUGUCGAUACCGCCAGCGGUGAGGAUCAUGCCUUCACCAGCGAUCACCUCGGUGCCGGCGCCAAUGGCGAUGGUUACGUCGGGUUGGAUGUCCGGGUUGCCGGCCUUACCAAUGGCUGCAAUGCGGCCGUCCUUGAGACCCACGUCAGCUUUGACGAUGCCCCAGUGAUCGAUGAUCAGUGCGUUGGUAAUCAGCGUGUCGACCACAUCGGCGGCGCACAGUUGGCCCUGGCCCAUGCCGUCGCGGAU